CACGCAGUAAACGAUGCAGACUAGGCGUGGGGGGAGUUGACCCCCUCCGUGCCGGAGCUAACGCGGGAAGUCUGCCGCCUGGGGAGUACGGCCGCAAGGCUAAAACUCAAAGGAAUUGAC
rnacentral:rRNA from 1 species